GCGGAUGAACGAAUAGCGGCUCACUUGACCGCAGUGCCAUAUUCUACGCUUUAUGAAGUGCGUAAAACGUGGAAGAGAGAAACGGAAACUGGUAUUGAUCGACGCUAGAAUCGGUCCUCAAAAACGAGACGUGUUCUGUACUGUAGUAGUAUCGAUGUUUUGGGAUCGAUCCGGCCCCUAUCCAACACCCAAGGACCUGUCACCCAGUGUGAACCACCCUCAUAGGAGAUUGUGGUUGUGUUGGGAUUGGUCCUCACAGAGAUCGGGGUGUUGUGAUUGGUCCUCACGCCCCAUCGUCAUCACAACAAGUCAAAGCGAAACUCACACCGAGCUCCGAAUGGAUCCUAAAAGCUGUCCUUGAUUACCUUCUUACAACUCAAGGAACACAAGGAGAGAAGCAUUCUCUGUGUGAUAAGCCAGGCUACGAACCAGCCCGGAACAAGACCUGGGACAGCACGUCGGAGGAGAGAGAAGAGGAGAGGAGAGAGGAGUGAACAAGGAGGAUGGCGGGGUUCCUCGACAACUUCCGCUGGCCGGAGUGCAUCGACUGGGGGGAGAGGCGCAACACCGUGGCCUCCGUGGUCGCAGGAGUUCUGUUCUUUACCGGUUGGUGGGUGAUGAUUGACGCGGCGACCAUCUACACAACACAGGAGCAGAUGAACCACGCCUUCCACACGUGUGGCGUCUUCUCCACCAUCGCUUUCUUCAUGAUCAAUGCUGUGUCUAAUGGCCAGGUGAGGGGCGACACCUACGGAGAGGGCUGCUUCGGGAGGACGGGCGUCCGUCUCUGGCUCUUCAUGGGCUUCAUGGUGAUGUUCGGCUCCCUCAUCGGCGCCAUUUGGAUCCUGUUCGGCGCGUACGUGACACAGGGGAAGGAAGUUGCUCCGGGCCUGGCUGUGUUCUUCCAGAAUGCUUUCAUCUUCUUCAGCACUCUCAUCUUCAAGUUUGGGCGGACAGAAGAUCUGUGGGGUUAGGGUCCUUGCCCCAUCCCCCCCCCCCCAAUCUUCAUCUACAACUUUUUUUUUUGCUUUAAUUUCAAAUGUUUCUUCACGUUUCUAAUCACGCUGUACGUGCCAGUUUUGAACCCUGAGCUGGACAGUGUUUAUUACAGAUGCCACAUCCUGAUGUGCCUUCAGGGUCCAGCAACAUCAAGGCUACAAUAAGGAACAUGAUUCAGCUUAGUAAAUGCAUUUAUCUGAACAAUUAACUCAUUUUCGCUAUGACAUGGACACUAAAGGCUUAGUUAUGGUUCCACGUCUACUUUUUUUUCUCCGCGCAAGGGGGUUUACGGACCCAUUACGUCCUUGCGGACCCUCCUUGCAUCCGAUGCAGAACCAAAACAGGUUCAGGACCGCGUCGAAUCGUCUGUGUGGUCAUUGCGUUGCGUCGACGUGGAACCAUUACUAAGCCUUUAGGCUAACGUCGCUAUAUGUUAUAUACUGAGCUGUAUGCUGCUUACAUAGAGGAGCGGUGUGGUCCAUCUGGGUUUGGGUCUUUUUGUAAUUUCCUAAAUCUGUAUUCAGUCCACAAGCUUAUCACAUUUAGGUGUUAUUUAUUCAGGGGAUCAAUAUGUAUUUAUCUACUUUCUGUCAAACGCACAGCUAGGAUCAUCGAAACUGUUGUUUUAAUUUUGGACCAAGCGUGUUGAUUCUUUGGUGCAAGAGGUUCCUUAAAUGGCCUGGGGUUGUUAAUGGUGAACUUGUCUAUUCAGAAUGCUGUAAUUAGAUGUAGUGUUCAGUAGAUUGUUAAAUGCUAAAGCCAUCAGGGACGGUGCCAUCAUUGUAGACACAAUGCGUAUCACAAAUGCUCCUCUGAUUGGCCAGAGGAUGACAGUUGCCAUAUAGACGUGGAGUAGACGUCCUGUCUGAGGCUGAUCUCAGUGGUCGUCAGUGCAGGACGAGUGUCGAUCCCAACCUACGCUUCAGAGCGUCUCCCCUCGCUACGCGCUCAGCCAUUCGAACACUUUUUUUGUUCCAGCAUCUGCUGCAAACUUUGUCGUCUUUCACUGUCCCGCAAUUCACUUCCAAUCACGCUUGUUUUCAUGGCGACUGCAUCACCUGUCCAACCCUUCCUCUCUGGGGAAAUCAGGCCUCUGUCCUCAACACUGGGCCGGUGGUCAUGGAGGCGUCUGUCGGGGAGCUGGAGAUGAACACGGACUGACCUGGAGCUCCCGGCCCUGACUGUUCGCUCCCUGGGGUCCAUCCCACUGCUUGGGAUGGGAAUUACUAAUAUCUAUUAUAAGUGCUGAAGAAUAUGUAUGGAUAAAAGGGAAAAUAAGCAACAGAGGUUCAUGUAUUAGUCCCCACCAGACUAGGAACCAGGUGGUGGUGGCGGAGAGGGCCAGGACUUAACAAUCCAUCCAUGUGACCUUCUAACCCUGGACCUCUGUAUCAAGGCUGUGGUGUGGAAGAAUUAGCAAUCAAAGUUUCUUCCAUUUAUUCGCAAUCCUGAUACAUUCACCAUGACCACAGACAUGUCAACAUUAAGGGAUGGCCACGGGCCAGUUUGACCAGUUGACCUAGGCAGUGUUUUGAUGCGCUGCUUCACAUUUGAUACCGGCGAGAUAACAGCUGCUGUUCGGAGUGGUGAGGGUGUGAUGCCGAUCCGAAGGGAAGACCCUGACCCUCAUUUUGUAUCCAAACCAAAUUACUUCUGAAUACUUUUAAACCAUUGUGAAUAAAAGUACACAUGCUCUAGUCAGUUAUUUUACUAUCAAGUUUUAUUUAAUAAAUUAUGUAAAUGGA